CAAAAGUGUGGGCGUGGAGCGGCGUUAAAACAGAGGUGGUAAAUGUUGUCCGGAUGUAUUGGGGGUAAAGGGCAUGUAGGUGGUUUUGUAAGUCAAAGGUGAAAUGGCCCGGCUUAACCAGGUCAUUGCCUUUGAAACUGCAGGACUUGAGUGCGGAAGGGGAAAGCGGAAUUCCCAGUGUAGCGGUGAAAUGCGUAGAUAUUGGGAGGAACACCGGUGGCGAAGGCGGCUUUCUGGUCCGAUACUGACACUGAGAUGCGAAAGCCAGGGGAGCAAACGGGAUUAGAUACCCGUGUAGUC
rnacentral:rRNA from 1 species